GAAAUGCGAUAAGUAAUGUGAAUUGCAGAAUUCCGUGAAUCAUCGAGUCUUUGAACGCACAUUGCGCCCGCCAGCACUCUGGCGGGCAUGCCUGUUCGAGCGUCAUUUCAACCCUCAGAACCCCUUGCGGGAUCUGGCGUUGGGGAUUGGCAUCCAGCCAGCCCCGAAAUCUAGUGGCGGUCCCUCCGCGACCUCCCCUGUGCAGUAGCGAUACCUCGCAGCGGGACAGCGGUCUGACCACGCCGUAAAACCCCCAACUUCUCAAGGUUGACCUCGAAUCAGGUAGGAAUACCCGCUGAACUUAAGC
rnacentral:misc_RNA from 1 species